rfam:Cowpea chlorotic mottle virus strain R segment RNA3, complete sequence.
GCUGCCCUUGGGUUUUACUCCUUGAACCCUUCGGAAGAACUCUUUGGAGUUCGUACCAGUACCUCACAUAGUGAGGUAAUAAGACUGGUGGGCAGCGCCUAGUCGAAAGACUAGGUGAUCUCUAAGGAG